rnacentral:rRNA from 1 species
UACAGAGGGGGCCAGCGUUAUUCGGAAUUACUGGGCGUAAAGCGCACGUAGGCGGAUUUGUAAGUCAGGGGUGAAAUCCCGGGGCUCAACCUCGGAACUGCCUUUGAUACUGCAAAUCUCGAGUCCGGAAGAGGUGAGUGGAAUUCCUAGUGUAGAGGUGAAAUUCGUAGAUAUUAGGAAGAACACCAGUGGCGAAGGCGGCUCACUGGUCCGGUACUGACGCUGAGGUGCGAAAGCGUGGGGAGCAAACAGG